AAGUCGUAACAAGGUAACCGUAGGUGAACCUGCGGUUGGAUCAUUACCAAUUUUUCCUUUUUUCGCAAAAGAAUUCGUUCUUUUGUGAAGGAAGUGGAAACCCACUUGUGAACCUGUAAUUGUGCAUUGGCGGCUGUUCAGUGCCUUGUGCUGGACUUGCAUUCAAUUGCAAAGGCCGUCAAUUUACCAUUUCCCUUCAAUCUUUUAUUUUUUUUUACCAUUUGUGACUUUUCUUGCCUUCUUUAUUCUUUCUCUGAAAUGGAAAAGAAACCAAGAACAACUAUUAACAAUGGAUCUCUUGGCUCUC
rnacentral:misc_RNA from 1 species